GGGGCAUUACGUGUUUAAUCUUGGGGAGAAUCUAACUCCACGAUGUAUGUUUUAAUUUCUCUCACGAUCGUCGUCCCUUUUCGGUGGUGAGGCAUGCCUUGAGGCCCUUUCGUUUCCAGUCACCACCAGAGCUCUUUGCGCCUCUAGUUCAGAUGGGCCCACGUCCCAAGCGAGGCGAGGCCGUUUCCUGAUUCGCUCCUUUUUCAUUUUCUCAACUUCCGCCACCAUACUCAACCAAGCAAGCAAGCAAAUGAUCUCACUGUUCGAGCUACAAAGACAUCUGCAACACAAAUUUCUAAGACAUUGAAGAAAAUUAGGGUUUUGCUGUUGAGACAAGACUUGG
rnacentral:misc_RNA from 1 species